CCUCGGAGGGAUAAAAUCCUUAAUGGCUUGCUAUAUGGGAACUACAUUGUAUUUAUGAUAAAUGUGCUUCAAAAAAUAUGGCAAUGAAUUUCGAAACUACAUAUUUACAAACUGGAACCGCCUCAUACUCAUCCACUAACAAUGAACACAAGUGUUACAGUACAACAUACAAAAACUAUAAAAAUAGGUUGAAAAGGCUUA
rnacentral:lncRNA from 1 species